AGCAGGAAAUUAGCCCUGGUGGGCUUGCAAGUCUCAUAAGCUUGCGGUGGUGAGUUCGAUUCUCACUCCUGCUA
rnacentral:tRNA from 1 species